ACGAAAAAAUGAAACUUUGAUAGCCUGUAGAGUUUCGGGCGCUGAGUCGAAUGGUCUUGGUCCGAAGUCUCUACGACGAAGCGUUCUUGAGAUAUUUCACUUUGAAAUUGCAAAAACGGGGGCCGCGCCCUGACGUCAUGCGGCCAUUUGGUUACAUCAUCACGGGCUGCCUACGUCAUUGUGGCAAAGUCGUUUCUCUUCGCCAGUCUACAAGCACUAAUUUUAGUUGGUAUUUCAAGGGAAGAUGGGCGAUUCCGAACAAUCCUCUGUCCCCAGCAAUGAAGGCAGCCAUGCUGAGGCCAGUGAGGACGACCAACAGCCCACCGCCGCGUAUGGUUGGGGCAGGGAGCCCAGAUACUCUGCUGAGGAGCUGCCAUCGCGUGUAACAAAUGUGGAGGAAGAAGAUGCUUCAGCAGCUGCGUCCGACAGAAGACGAGUAGCUUGGCCACCAGAAUCUCGAUUCGUUUGGGACUCCGACUGGUGCGAGCGUGGACAAAAGUGUAUAGCCAUGCCCAGCCCGCGGGAAUGAUUUUGCUGGUAGGAUGCUGCCGUCGCUGUCGACAAGACGGCCCAAGGUUUCUUGCGUAGCGGACCUCGCAGAUUACGAGAUCGUAUCCUUGCAUUAGGCUGUGCUCAUCACUGCUCUUCGAGGUUAUCUCGACAUGCAGAAGCCGCCAAUGCCAGUGACAGAAGAGUCUGACAUUAGAUCUCUACGCUAUGCGGCACACAGGCAGUACACACUAUGUACACGGCAAAUUGGGCAAGCACGUUCGUUGUCGUCUUCCAGCCUGCGUUGUGAAUACCAUCAGGCAAAGAUAUCCAAAUCCUGCACCACCUCAGCCUUCUCAGGAGGCUUCCACCUGGAAUUUGGCAGGGAAACACGCUUCUCCAAGGCAGGAACAUGGAGGUUGCCAUUUGCAACCGCUACCACCUCACACAUGAGCUUGUCAACAUACUCAUAGCUCUUUCUGUCGUAUAAUUUUCUAUUUGGCCACAGUCUUCUUUAUGCUUUGAGAACUGGACUUUAUACCUUCC